rnacentral:rRNA from 1 species
UACAGAGGGGGCCAGCGUUAUUCGGAAUUAUUGGGCGUAAAGGGCGCGUAGGCGGCUUUGCGUGUCUUUCGUGAAAUCCCUCGGCUCAACUGAGGACGUGCGGAAGAAACUGCAGGGCUGGAGUCCGGGAGAGGAGGGUGGAGUUCCCAGUGUAGCGGUGAAAUGCGUAGAUAUUGGGAGGAACACCGGUGGCGAAGGCGGCCCUCUGGACCGGUACUGACGCUGAUGCGCGAAAGCGUGGGGAGCAAACGGG